rnacentral:rRNA from 1 species
CUCGUAGGCGGUUCAACAAGUCGAUCGUGAAAGCCCGGGGCUCAACCCCGGGACGCCGGUCGAAACUGUUGUGACUAGGGUCCGGUAGAGGUGAGUGGAAUUCUCGGUGUAGCGGUGGAAUGCGCAGAUAUCGAGAGGAACACCAGUAGCGAAGGCGGCUCACUGGGCCGGUACCGACGCUGAGGAGCGAAAGCAUGGGGAGCAAACAGGAUUAGAUACCCUGGUAGUCC